AUUGAACGCUGGCGGCAUGCCUUACACAUGCAAGUCGAACGGUAACAGGUCUUCGGUUGCUGACGAGUGGCGAACGGGUGCGUAAUACAUCGGAACGUGCCCGAUCGUGGGGGAUAACGAAGCGAAAGCUUUGCUAAUACCGCAUACGAUCUACGGUUGAAAGCGGGGGAUCUUCGGACCUCGCGCGGACGGUGCGGCCGAUGGCAGAUUAGGUAGUUGGUGGGAUAAAAGCUUACCAAGCCGACGAUCUGUAGCUGGUCUGAGAGGAUGAUCAGCCACACUGGGACUGAGACACGGCCCAGACUCCUACGGGAGGCAGCAGUGGGGAAUUUUGGGCAAUGGGCGCAAGCCUGAUCCAGCCAUGCCGCGUGCAGGAUGAAGGCCUUCGGGUUGUAAACUGCUUUUGUACGGAACGAAAAGGUGCCUUCUAAUAAAGGGCGCUCAUGACGGUACCGUAAGAAUAAGCACCGGCUAACUACGUG
rnacentral:rRNA from 1 species